GGGCCUGGAGCGCCACUGGCAGCGCGUCCCUCCUGCACAGGGAAGAGUGGAAGAUCGAGUCUCCCCUUGUCCACCA
rnacentral:tRNA from 1 species